CUUUAAUGCUACCAGAAGAAUUGCUCAGGGUAUGGAACUGGUUGCUCAUAAAAUGCUCAGAUUUUGGAACCUGGAGUUACGAACUGCUGGAAGAACUCAGCAGGUCAAGUCGCACCUGUGGGGAGAGAGGAAUUGUUGUUGGAUCAGAUUGGCUGCCAAGUUACAAAACUAUCUCAAGUAUUUGGCCUUCAAAUGAGGCAACAUAUGGAAGAACCAUUAUGCCACUGCUUUCACAGAUAAUCGUAGCAAAUACAAGAAACACAAAAGAAUCAGUAAAAUACCACACCAACAGGACGGACGAAUAAAGCCAAAAAAUGUGCAAAUACAAAAACAGGUAGUCAGUCCCAAUGGACACUUAAGAUUGAAAAAUACAGAGACAGAAUCCACUUUAUACCACAGCUGAAAAUGGAAUUGAAAACAAUUAAAAGUUAAACCUCAACAUCAGGCAGCCAUUGAUAACAUUGGAUUAAAGAUAAUUUCAAUAAAUAGUUAUAUGGCAGCCUUAAUCAUGGAAAAGGAAACAUAUUUCUGGAAUGUAAGAGAGAGACACAAGAGACUGAAAAUGCUGGAAUCUGAAGCAAAAACAAACUGGAAGCACAGCGGACAGUGGUGGCAAGCAGCAUCUAUAGUAGAAAAGGAAUUGUUAAUGUGGGGAAUUCUUUUCCCCGUCCCAACACACAGAUGUUACUUGACCCAUUAAGCUCCACCGGCAGUUUUUUUGCAAUAUGGAAUACAAAUCUGUUGAUAUCUGGUUAGUGAAAAAUGAUUUAAUCCUCAUUUUGCCAGAGGUUCUGAUUCUGGUUAUUAUACAUAAGCUUUGUAUUGUCCUUAAUGUUUUGCUCUACAAUGGAUUCUUAAUCAUCAAUGGGAGACUCGUGUCCUAAUUGCCAAAUAAAAAUGUGCACCUACACAAAAAAAAUCAAAUUUAUUACUGACAAAAUAUUUUCUUAAUAUACAGCAUCAGAUAUCAAAUUCUGGUAAGCUAAGACAACCUUAAGGAUUUCCAAUUGCCCCUAUCCAUCACAGGUUUAAAGAUUUCAUCCAUAGUUUGAUCACAAAUGGGUAGGUGGAUUAACUCUACAACUUCAAUUAUAAACCUCCAGCUGUGACAACAUCCUUAUAAACUUCCUGUACAUCCUCUCAAAUGCAAUCACAUCCUUCCUGUGGCAUCCAACAGCACACAGAACAGUCCAACUAUGAUCUAACUGAUUUAUUUAUAGUGCUAGAGUUUUCCCUGCAGUUACAUUAUAAGUUUGCCAGUAAAGGGAAAUAUCCUGUAUGCCUUGUUAAGCAACAAAUCCAACUGUCCCAAAAUCUUCAGUGAGUUAAGGACAUAUUUUCUUCUACAAAUAACACACUAAGAUAAAUAAUA